AGUUCUCUGUAGUGUUUGCCAAUGUUGGAGCCGUCUGCAAAGUGUCCCCGGCAAGAAGAGGCUGCCUACCACAAGGAAUUUAGCUUACUUUUUAAAGAUUGAAGAAAAAAAAGAAGACAGAAAAAGAAGAACUCAAAGAUACACAAAGUAAUUUGAACCAAGGCUCAGAAGUUUUUGGAGCCGUGAGGGAUACAGCAGUUUGGUCAAUAUUGUCUUAACAUGCUUCAAAUAAAUCAGCUUCUCUCCAAGAUAAAAUGGCAAACCCAAAAGAGAAAACUGCAAUGUGUCUGGUAAAUGAGUUAGCCCGUUUCAAUAGAGUCCAACCCCAGUAUAAACUUCUGAAUGAAAGAGGGCCUGCUCAUUCAAAGAUGUUCUCAGUGCAGCUGAGUCUUGGUGAGCAGACAUGGGAAUCCGAAGGCAGCAGUAUAA
rnacentral:sRNA from 1 species